rnacentral:rRNA from 1 species
GGUAGCCGGCCUGAGAGGGUGACCGGCCACACUGGGACUGAGACACGGCCCAGACUCCUACGGGAGGCAGCAGUGGGGAAUAUUGCACAAUGGGCGCAAGCCUGAUGCAGCAACGCCGCGUGAGGGAUGACGGCCUUCGGGUUGUAAACCUCUUUUAGCAGGGAAGAAGCGAAAGUGACGGUACCUGCAGAAAAAGCGCCGGCUAACUACGUGCCAGCAGCCGCGGUAAUACGUAGGGCGCAAGCGUUAUCCGGAAUUAUUGGGCGUAAAGAGCUCGUAGGCGGUCUGUCGCGUCUGCUGUGAAAACCCGAGGCUCAACCUCGGGCCUGCAGUGGGUACGGGCAGACUAGAGUGCGGUAGGGGAGAUUGGAAUUCCUGGUGUAGCGGUGGAAUGCGCAGAUAUCAGGAGGAACACCGAUGGCGAAGGCAGAUCUCUGGGCCGUAACUGACGCUGAGGAGCGAAAGGGUGGGGAGCAAACAGGCUUAGAUACCCUGGUAGUCCACCCCGUAAACGUUGGGAACUAGUUGUGGGGUCCAUUCCACGGAUUCCGUGACGCAGCUAACGCAUUAAGUUCCCCGCCUGGGGAGUACGGCCGCAAGGCUAAAACUCAAAGGAAUUGACGGGGACCCGCACAAGCGGCGGAGCAUGCGGAUUAAUUCGAUGCAACGCGAAGAACCUUACCAAGGCUUGACAUAUA